rnacentral:rRNA from 1 species
AACGAACGCUGGCGGCAUGCCUAACACAUGCAAGUCGAACGAGACCUUCGGGUCUAGUGGCGCACGGGUGCGUAACGCGUGGGAAUCUGCCCUUUGCUUCGGAAUAACAGUUAGAAAUGACUGCUAAUACCGGAUGAUGUCUUCGGACCAAAGAUUUAUCGGCAAAGGAUGAGCCCGCGUAGGAUUAGCUAGUAGGUGAGGUAAUGGCCUCACCUAGGCGACGAUCCGUAACUGGUCUGAGAGGAUGAUCAGUCACACUGGAACUGAGACACGGUCCAGACUCCUACGGGAGGCAGCAGUGGGGAAUAUUGGACAAUGGGCGAAGCCUGAUCCAGCCAUGCCGCGUGUGUGAAGAAGGUCUUCGGAUUGUAAAGCACUUUAAGUUGGAGGAAGGGCAGUAAGUUAAUA